CAAAAACAUUGCCUCUCGCACACCCAUGAAAGGUUCAUCCUGCCCAGUGAAAAUUUAAACGGCCGCGGUAGCCUGACCGUGCUAAGGUAGCAUAAUCAUUUGCCUCCUAAUUAGAGGCUAGUAUGAACGGACACACGAGAGUGCUACUGUCUCUUAAUAAUCCUUGAAAACUAGGCCUCAAGUGAAAACACUUGAAUCACGAUAAAGGACAACGAGACCCCAUUGAGCUUAAACCUAAAUAUCUUCUGCAUACAGUUAUCAAGGUUUUGGUUGGGGCGACAGGGGCCGACCCAAAGCGGCCACCUCUUUACCAAACGGUUUCACACCCCUCUAACUGACCCACUCAUGAUCAAAGAAAAAGCUACCUUGGGGAUAACAGGCUAAUCCAUUCAAAGAGUUCACAUUGAUGAAUGGGCUUGGCACCUCGAUGUUGGCUCAGGAUCUCCUGUAGGUGCAGGUGUCUACAAGGGCAGGUUUGUUCAACCUCUAAGAUCCCUACGUGAUCU
rnacentral:rRNA from 1 species